CCAGUGCUGUUGUUCUCUACUCCAAUCAAAUUACUUGGUCAUAUAAGAAAUACUUGUGAACGUGGUUUUAUUUUUCAUUGAAACUGUUAUUGAGCCAUAUCAAUAGAUUGCACAGUCGCAGCCCUGAUUUCUGUUUGCUCUGUGGUAUUGACAGAUGCACGGAGGAAUAUAGAGUGUACAAUUCCUUCUAUCAUCAUGUGCCCGAGAAACCACCGUCAACACCUACUUGAUUGCACCUGACCAGAUGAACAGCCUUCGGAGGAAAGCCAAGUACCACUGGAACAAGACAACAUUUAACCCGUUCAGCUUCUAGCUAACUCCAGCAUCACUGAUCAGCAACUACGUACACCUGACUCAGAUGAAGGGCAAAGGGGCGUUGACCAACAUAGAGCUGUCACAGUGCAACAAAAAGGCGUGAAUGACAUUGUUGCUGGGGUACAGCAGUAUCAAUCACUAUUGGACAACCUCAGGAAGCAGAUGGAGGCAGUGCUAAAGAAGCAUUCAGGGUGCACAUCAGGUCAACUUGCAUCAAAAAACAAGUUGUUAAUGGUGUAAUUCACCCUAGGAAAUAUAAAUCCAAAAUACAGGCCUAAACUGU
rnacentral:lncRNA from 1 species